AUCUGUGAGUAGAGACGGAGCCAGAUUAAGAGUGCCCAGAGCCCUUGGCUAUGUUUCUGUAAGUGAUGUGGUUCAUGAGUUUGUGUGUGUGCUGCUGAGAGUUGUAUGUGUAGUAGCUGAAUUGUGUGUGUGUAUUGAGCAUUGUGUGUAUGCUCUCUGCCCCCCCUCCUGCUUAUGUUCCAUUGUGUUCCAAUGAAGUGUGAUGUCUGGUGG